rnacentral:rRNA from 1 species
UACGUGGGGAGCGAGAGGUGUUCGGAAUUACUGGGCGUAAAGCGCGUGUAGGCGGCCUAUUAUGUCAGGUGUGAAAGCCCUCGGCCUAACCGAGGAAGUGCGCCUGAAACUGCUAGGCUUGAGUACGAGAGAGGAGGACGGAAUUCCCAGUGUAGAGGUGAAAUUCGUAGAUAUUGGGAGGAACACCGGCGGCGAAAGUGGUUCUCUGGAUCGAUACUGGCGCUAAGACGCGAAAGCGUGGGGAGCAAACAGG